rnacentral:rRNA from 1 species
AUACGUAGGUGGCAAGCGUUGUCCGGAAUUAUUGGGCGUAAAGCGCAUGUAGGCGGUUUGGUAAGUCGGUCGUGAAAAUGCGGUGCUUAACGCCGUAUGGCGAUUGAAACUGCUGAAUUUGAGUGCAGGAGAGGAAAGGGGAACUCCCAGUGUAGCGGUGAAAUGCGUAGAUAUUGGGAAGAACACCGGUGGCGAAGGCGCCUUUCUGGACUGUGUCUGACGCUCAGAUGCGAAAGCCAGGGUAGCGAACGGGAUUAGAUACCCCGGUAGUCCUGGCCGUAAACGAUGGGUACUAGGUGUGGGAGGUAUCGACUCCUUCCGUGCCGGAGUUAACGCAAUAAGUACCCCGCCUGGGGAGUACGGCCGCAAGGCUUAAACUCAAAUGAAUUGACGGG